AUUGAACGCUGGCGGCAGGCCUAACACAUGCAAGUCGAACGGUAACAGGAAGAAGCUUGCUUCUUUGCUGACGAGUGGCGGACGGGUGAGUAAUGUCUGGGAAACUGCCUGAUGGAGGGGGAUAACUACUGGAAACGGUAGCUAAUACCGCAUAACGUCGCAAGACCAAAGAGGGGGACCUUCGGGCCUCUUGCCAUCGGAUGUGCCCAGAUGGGAUUAGCUAGUAGGUGGGGUAACGGCUCACCUAGGCGACGAUCCCUAGCUGGUCUGAGAGGAUGACCAGCCACACUGGAACUGAGACACGGUCCAGACUCCUACGGGAGGCAGCAGUGGGGAAUAUUGCACAAUGGGCGCAAGCCUGAUGCAGCCAUGCCGCGUGUAUGAAGAAGGCCUUCGGGUUGUAAAGUACUUUAAGCGGGGAGGAAGGGAGUAAAGUUAAUACCUUUGCUCAUUGACGUUACCCGCAGAAGAAGCACCGGCUAACUCCGUG
rnacentral:rRNA from 1 species